GCCCUACAAAAGAAAUCCACUUGUCCCGGACGAGCGGACAAGCGGACGAGCAUUAAUUCGCCUUAGUCACAUGCGUCGCCAUUUUGAUAUCGAGCUGAACGAAAACGAGGCUUGAGGGGACAACAAACCAGACUCCAGACCAGAGUGAUGUCCUACUGCUGCGUCCCCGAGUGCAAUUCUAACAAAAAAAAAACUAUCUUGCAAACUGAAAACAUUUCACCGCUUCCCUGUAAAUUCCGCAAUUCGUCGAGAAUGGGUUGUUAAAAUAAGGAGAUAUUGGGCCGCAUUUUAAGAUCUCAAAUAACACGAGAGUGUGUUCAGAUCACUUCCCCGAAGAGUUCUUCACAGAGUCGCUAUGUGGCAUCAGGAAACUGAAGGAGGGGGUUGUGCCAACUGUUUUUACGUGGUCCUCGAUCAAGCCUGGCAGGCGGAAGAUUGUUAGAACAGCAAGUCAUGUUGCCACUACCACAGGUGGAGAGGAUGCACUGGGUGAAGAAUUGGAUGAGUCAAGUCACUCAGUGGGACAAGACCCCCAAGAGGACAUUGCCUGCACAUCAAGCGAAGUAGAGACAAGCGUGCCAUACGCAGAUCAUGACUAUACUCAGCGGCCCUUGUCCUUGGAGGAGCAGCUUCAAGAAGCCUGCAAGACCAUCGCUCGCCAGGAAGAAGAAAUAUCGACACUUCGUAGCAACCUGUUCCUCCUCAAACGCUUUCAGUGUGACGACAAACAAAUCCAGUUCUACACAGGAUUCAGAGACUAUAGUACACUCAAAGCUGUGUUUACAGCUUUACAACCUACAGCUGAGCACAUGGUGAGAUGGAGUCAAGCACAGAAGGCAAAGCAAGCCAGUGAGCACAUUAGACAGGGAUUUAAUGUGCAAAGCCUAGCUUUAAUUGACCAAUUCUUUCUUUAUCUUUGCCGUGUGAGACUGGGCUGUCUACAACAGGACCUCGCUAAUCGCUUUAACGUAUCACAAUCAACCGUCAGCAGAAUAUGUAUCACCUGGACAAACUUCCUCUACUUCAUGUUGGGAUCGCUUCUUAUUUGGCCUUCAAUAGAGUCUGUAAAUGAUCUUAUGCCUCAAUGCUUCAAAAGUACAUUCCCAAAAACCAGAGUUAUUUUAGAUUGCACAGAGAUACAUGUACAAAAACCAAGCUCAAAAGUACUGAAUUCAGAAAUGUACUCCCAUUAUAAAGGAACUACAACCUUAAAGUCCCUAAUUGGUAUAAGUCCGUCAGGUUUCAUUACAUUUGUUAGUGACCUAUAUACAGGAUCAAUAUCGGAUAAGGAAAUUACCAGGAAGUCAGGCGUUCUCUCUUUACUCGAGGAAGGGGAUCAGGUAAUGGCAGAUAAAGGGUUCCUUAUUGGAGACCUUUUGUCUGACAUCAAUGUUAGUUUAGUUAUUCCACCCUUUCUGGGUGCAAAUGCACAGUUCAGUGAGGAGGAGGUGCGGCAGACACAGGAAAUCGCCCGCCUUAGAAUUCAUGUCGAACGGGCCAUAAGAAGAAUAAAAGAAUAUCACAUUUUUGAUAGAACAUUACACAUGACAGUUAUGGGGUCUGUCAACCAACUGUGGUCUGUCUGUGCCAGCCUACAAAUCUUCAAGGACCGUUGUUCUGAACCUGAAGAAACAAUCAAAUUGAGGACUACCUGGACUUAUGAAAUACAUUGCAAAGAAAUUUAGAUUUAAAACUCAGUCCGAUCAUUUUCCUUAAAUGUGUAUAAAACAGUGUGGAAAAUACAUUGCCCGCCUUAGAAUUCAUGUCGCCAUUGUUCUGAACCUGAAGUAACAAUUAAAAAAAAGUAAACUGAGGAAUACCUGGACUUAUGAAUGAUGAAAUACAUUUAUUGCAAAGAUAUUUAGAAUUAAAACUCAGGUCAUUUUCAUUAAAUGUGUAUACAAUAAAGUGUGGAAAAUACAUUGUGUGGUAGUUAUUUCAUUUUUAUAUAUAUAUAUAUAUAUAUAUAUUGGAUGACAAAUGUACUUAGUACUUUAUUAAACAGACUAUAAAACUAUCUAAAUAGUGCUGGCAAAAAAUGCUGGAAAUAAAAGAAGUCUAGUUUAGAUUUUACUUCUUCCCACUUUUUGACAUCGAAGUGUAGUCGCUCCAAGUGGAAGUCAUUGUGAGACAUCACAAAGAAGUCACACCACUUUGCUCCACUAACACCCAUCUGUCCGAGUAUCUGGAAUUGAUAUUCAUGGUCAACUUUUAACGCUAAAUCACCAUCUGCCUGUCGGAUAAGAUAUGGACAAUCUGCACAUGUGCUUUUGUCUGGGCACUUAAUUUCUAAGAGGCCGUAGGGAGAAUCUUCGGAUUGGUCAAUCACUCUUCCGUCUGGGGAUGCCCCUAAGUGGGGAGCGUUUGGGUUUACCACAAAACCACAUGGUAGAACAACGGUUCCUUUUAAUGCAGUGUACUUUGCUGCAGCCACUGGUUCCAUUUUAAUUCCCCUCCGCAUAGCUUUGGUCUGCACUGUUUUUUUAUCCCUCGUGAGCUCUGCAGCAAGACUGUCAAAGUCAGCUCGUCUUGAGCACACCCUUUUAAAAUUAGACGAGGUAAUGCGCUGAGACCGCACGCGAU